rnacentral:lncRNA from 1 species
AGUUGACGUGUUCUUGUAAGUCUCGAGUGCCUCUAUAAAAUUCACCCAAAAUUUUCCAAGUUUUAUAAAUACUCAUUCAGGUCCCUGAAAACGUGCAUGUGCUACAAUAUUCACUAGGUUGAAUGUUUAUUACAAACUUCGGACAACUUUGCUUAUUUUUCUGAUAAAUGGCAGCAAUUUUGAAAAUAAUAAGCUGUUGUAUUAUUCAGAGGGUUUUUCAGAAAGGCCACAAGCAGUGCAGAGCAUUUUAUGUCGACCGGAACAAUUUUUUAAGGUAAACAGUGUUCGGUUGUUUUUAUUUUUACAAAUAUUUAAUGCAGAUACUUUCAUUUUGUGUAUUUUCAAGUUCUACGCUCAGCAUUUUAUUUUUUUUUCUCAACUAGCGCAAUACCCUUGCCUAUGCACAUUAGAAAUCAAACAAGAUGAAAGAUAAAGAAAAUUCUGAUAUAUUUUCAGCCUCUGAUACUUAUAUCACAACCUCUAAUGUAUCACAACCUUCACAUGAAAUGUACAAUGCAGUUAAAUUAAAUUUUGUCUUCAUACAAAAUUUGGGUUUCAAUCUGCAGCCUCUGUCAAGAUGCUCCGUGUGGACUUCAGCCAGCCGAUCUCGCAAAAAGUCCA